rnacentral:rRNA from 1 species
UACGUAGGGUGCGUGCGUUAAUCGGAAUUACUGGGCGUAAAGCGUGCGCAGGCGGUUCGCUAAGACCGAUGUGAAAUCCCCGGGCUUAACCUGGGAACUGCAUUGGUGACUGGCGGGCUAGAGUAUGGCAGAGGGGGGUAGAAUUCCACGUGUAGCAGUGAAAUGCGUAGAGAUGUGGAGGAAUACCGAUGGCGAAGGCAGCCCCCUGGGCCAAUACUGACGCUCAUGCACGAAAGCGUGGGGAGCAAACAGG